rnacentral:rRNA from 1 species
CUCAGGAAAAGAAAUCAAUAGAGAUUGCGUCAGUAGCGGCGAGCGAAAGCGCAAGAGGGCAAACCCAGUGCUUGCACUGGGGGUUGUAGGACUGCAAUGUGCAAGAGGUAAGUUUAGCAGAACAUUCUGGAAAGUAUAACCAUAGAGGGUGAUAGUCCCGUAUGCGAAAAACAAACCUUAGCUAGCAGUAUCCUGAGUAGGGCGGGACACGAGGAAUCCUGUCUGAAUCCGGGUCGACCACGAUCCAACCCUAAAUACUAAUACCAGAUCGAUAGUGCACAAGUACCGUGAGGGAAAGGUGAAAAGAACUGAGGUGAUCAGAGUGAAAUAGAACCUGAAACCAUUUGCUUACAAUCAUUCAGAGCCCUAUGUAGCAAUACAGGGUGAUGGACUGCCUUUUGCAUAAUGAGCCUGCGAGUUGUGGUGUCUGGCAAGGUUAAGCAAACGCGAAGCCGUAGCGAAAGCGAGUCUGAAUAGGGCGCUUAGUCAGAUGCUGCAGACCCGAAACGAAGUGAUCUAUCCAUGAGCAAGUUGAAGCUAGUGUAAGAACUAGUGGAGGACUGAACCCAUAGGCGUUGAAAAGCCCCGGGAUGACUUGUGGAUAGGGGUGAAAGGCCAAUCAAACUUCGUGAUAGCUGGUUCUCUCCGAAAUAUAUUUAGGUAUAGCGUUGUGUCGUAAUAUAAGGGGGUAGAGCACUGAAUGGGCUAGGGCAUACACCAAUGUACCAAACCCUAUCAAACUCCGAAUACCUUAUAUGUAAUCACAGCAGUCAGGCGGCGAGUGAUAAAAUCCGUCGUCAAGAGGGAAACAACCCAGACUACCAGCUAAGGUCCCUAAAUCUUACUUAAGUGGAAAACGAUGUGAAGUUACUUAAACAACCAGGAGGUUGGCUUAGAAGCAGCCAUCCUUUAAAGAAAGCGUAAUAGCUCACUGGUCUAGUGAUUUUGCGCGGAAAAUAUAACGGGGCUAAAGUAAGUACCGAAGCUGUAGACUUGCACACAACUUAGAUUAUUUAAGUUUAGAAUAUGAGAAACUAAGUUAUAUGUUUAGUUAUAUUUUUACUGAUUUUUAUAGAGUAAAGAUAGAAAUAAAACUUAGUAAAAUCAGUAAAAAUAUUCUUAGACUAAAGUUAAGUAGUUUAAGUUGUGUGCAAGUGGUAGGAGAGCGUUCUAUUUGCGUCGAAGGUAUACCGGUAAGGAGUGCUGGAGCGAAUAGAAGUGAGCAUGCAGGCAUGAGUAGCGAUAAUUAAUGUGAGAAUCAUUAACGCCGUAAACCCAAGGUUUCCUACGCGAUGCUCGUCAUCGUAGGGUUAGUCGGGUCCUAAGUCGAGUCCGAAAGGGGUAGACGAUGGCAAAUUGGUUAAUAUUCCAAUACCAACAUUAGUGUGCGAUGGAAGGACGCUUAGGGCUAAGGGGGCUAGCGGAUGGAAGUGCUAGUCUAAGGUCGUAGGAGGUUAUACAGGCAAAUCCGUAUAACAAUACUCCGAGAACUGAAAGGCUUUUUGAAGUCUUCGGAUGGAUAGAAGAACCCCUGAUGCCGUCGAGCCAAGAAAAGUUUCUAAGUUUAGCUAAUGUUGCCCGUACCGUAAACCGACACAGGUGGGUGGGAUGAGUAUUCUAAGGCGCGUGGAAGAACUCUCUUUAAGGAACUCUGCAAAAUAGCACCGUAUCUUCGGUAUAAGGUGUGGUUAGCUUUGUAUUAGGAUUUACUCCGAAAGCAAGGAAACUUACAACAAAGAGUCCCUCCCGACUGUUUACCAAAAACACAGCACUCUGCUAACUCGUAAGAGGAUGUAUAGGGUGUGACGCCUGCCCGGUGCUCGAAGGUUAAUUGAUGGGGUUAGCAUUAGCGAAGCUCUUGAUCGAAGCCCGAGUAAACGGCGGCCGUAACUAUAACGGUCCUAAGGUAGCGAAAUUCCUUGUCGGUUAAAUACCGACCUGCAUGAAUGGCGUAACGAGAUGGGAGCUGUCUCAAAGAGGGAUCCAGUGAAAUUGUAGUGGAGGUGAAAAUUCCUCCUACCCGCGGCAAGACGGAAAGACCCCGUGGACCUUUACUACAGCUUGACACUGCUACUUGGAUAAGAAUGUGCAGGAUAGGUGGGAGGCUUUGAGUAUAUGACGCCAGUUGUAUAUGAGCCAUUGUUGAGAUACCACUCUUUCUUAUUUGGGUAGCUAACCAGCUUGAGUUAUCCUCAAGUGGGACAAUGUCUGGUGGGUAGUUUGACUGGGGCGGUCGCCUCCCAAAUAAUAACGGAGGCUUACAAAGGUUGGCUCAGAACGGUUGGAAAUCGUUCGUAGAGUAUAAAGGUAUAAGCCAGCUUAACUGCAAGACAUACAAGUCAAGCAGAGACGAAAGUCGGUCUUAGUGAUCCGGUGGUUCUGUGUGGAAGGGCCAUCGCUCAAAGGAUAAAAGGUACCCCGGGGAUAACAGGCUGAUCUCCCCCAAGAGCUCACAUCGACGGGGAGGUUUGGCACCUCGAUGUCGGCUCAUCGCAUCCUGGGGCUGGAGCAGGUCCCAAGGGUAUGGCUGUUCGCCAUUUAAAGCGGUACGCGAGCUGGGUUCAGAACGUCGUGAGACAGUUCGGUCCCUAUCUGCCGUGGGCGUAAGAAGAUUGAAGAGAUUUGACCCUAGUACGAGAGGACCGGGUUGAACAAACCACUGGUGUAGCUGUUGUUCUGCCAAGAGCAUCGCAGCGUAGCUAAGUUUGGAAAGGAUAAACGCUGAAAGCAUCUAAGCGUGAAGCCAACUCUAAGAUGAAUCUUCUCUAAGCUCUCUAGAAGACUACUAGUUUGAUAGGCUGGGUGUGUAAUGGAUGAAAGUCCUUUAGCUGACCAGUACUAAUAGAGCGUUUGGCUUAUCUUUAAUAAAGCAU